rnacentral:tRNA from 1 species
ACCUGGGUGGCUCAGUCGGUAGAGCAUGGGACUCUUGAUUUCAGGGUUGUGAGUUCAAGCCCCAUGUUGGGCA